UCUAUAUUGCCUUGUGUUCAGAGUCCGACAGCGCUGCUGCUGCUCCUCCUCCAUCAAAGAGGAAAAGGAAGCACAGGUGGACGCCAAGCAGGGUUACCAUUUGCCGCCACAAGUCUCAACUGAGGCAGGACACCAGGGUGUUAAAGGAGCAAAAGGGGAAGCCCCAAUGCCAGCCGGGGGACCCCUGCCCCACGUGCGCCCAACCCAGGACCCUGGACACGGGGCACGCGCUCUACAAGAGCAGUGCGUACUGCGAGUUGGAGGCGGGCCCUGGGGGCCUCACCGCUCGUGAGUGGCUCAUCAGCCAACAGGCCCCGGAGGACGCCGGGAAGGUGCCCAGGACCACCCUGUGGAACAUCGCCCGCAGGAAGGAGGAGCAGGUCGGCGGCUCUUCCCCUCGACGCAAAACGCACAAGCUGCGGAUCUGCCAGCGGUGCCUCCAGCCGGCGCAGAAGGACUUUGGCCACAGCCGGUUCGAUGGGGAGAGCUUCUGCUCCCUCUACGCCGGCAAAGCCGUAGACCUGUGGCUGGCCGAGAGGAGGGACCGCAAGAGGCGAAAGCCAAAGAGGAAGCAGAGGAAGCAGCGGGAGGAGAGGAGGGCGAAGGGCCCGGCGUCAGAGCUUGGAGAGGAACACAGCCCCGGCAGACUGUGAGGCUGCUCCUCCCCGGGAACCCCCCUCCUGUGUUGUGCUUGUUUUUAAUUUAAUAAAUCAGUUUGUAUUACACACGCUUGUCC
rnacentral:lncRNA from 1 species